rnacentral:rRNA from 1 species
UACGGGGGGGCAAGCGUUGUUCGGAAUUACUGGGCGUAAAGGGCUCGUAGGCGGCCAACUAAGUCGGAUGUGAAAUCCCCAGGCUUAACCUGGGAACUGCAUCCGAUACUGGAUGGCUAGAGUCUGGUAGGGGGAUCUGGAAUUCCUGGUGUAGCGGUGGAAUGCGCAGAUAUCAGGAGGAACACCGGUGGCGAAGGCGGGAUCCUGGCCAGUACUGACGCUGAGGAGCGAAAGCGUGGGGGAGCAACAGG